rnacentral:guide_RNA from 1 species
AUGAUAUUAAAUUACAAAACGAGUGCAGAGAUUUCGGUAAAUGAUGGUAUAU